rnacentral:lncRNA from 1 species
AUGGAUGUGAGACCAGCCUUUCAUCCCAGUGCAAAUUAUUCUUCAAAACCAGCAUUAAAUCACACAUUCAGAGUCAAACACCUCUUGCCCAAGCAGCUCUGGGCUGCUCCCUGGAUUAUUUUGACCUCAAGUGCUCAUUCCAAAGAAGGGUUUGUGUGUAAACACCACCUGCGUGGCGGAGCGCGCCCCGAGCCGCUGCUGCUGCUGUGUUCCUUUCUUAUCACUCAAAAUGUGAAAAUGUGGCUGCCUGCACCUCCAGCCCAGGGGCUGCCAGGCUCUGCAGAUGGCAGACACGUUUACACAAUAUUUUAUAGCUCUGAUCAAUAAAAUUAAGGCUUUCCCACCUCUGAUGCUGCGCUGGUAGCUCUCUUUGGCUGCUGGUUGAUCUCUGUCCCUGUGAUUUCCAGCUGAUACUGCCUUUAAAUAUUUGCAUUUAAUUUUGGCAUUGGUGAGCAGCUGGCCUACCUACUGGAUUUUCCUAGAGCCAACAUUUUCUUGGUGUUAUCUAGUGUUCUAAUUUAUUAGCUCCCCUCCUUAGUGAAGAAUUAACUUUGAUCUCCUCAUAUCUGCUCUUGUGUUUGUGGUGAAGGUAGCUUCUCCAAUGCAAACCCUUAUUUUCUGGUUUUAAGGGAAAACUCAGAGGUUAAAAUCAGCCCUUCUCCUCAGCCUGUUGUACCCCAGGGGUGCAGAGCCACCUCCCCUGAGCUGUGCAGCUCUGCAGGUGGGAGCAGGAGCAAACCUGCAUUUCACACCAUGCCUUGGCCUUGUUUGCUGUUUCACCUGGUUUAUCAGCUCAACAUUCAUGUAUCUCCAAUGACUGGAUUAGCACAAACAUUUUUUUAUUGUCCUAGUUCUGAGCAGGGAAAUGGUUGAACCUCCUCAGGGGUUGAAUAAGGAAAAAUAUGAAACCUCUCAGACACCAAAAUAUGCAAACCUCAGUCCUGUUCUCUUUGAAUAGGCUGACUUGUAUUCUCUAUCAAAUAUUUUCAAAUAUUUUUAUCUCUCUUGGCUCUUGAAAAACAGCUCCCAUAACAUUGUAACUUCAGGCAUUAAAAAUAAAAUCUGUGCCUAUUUACUUAUUUGUUUGAAC